rnacentral:misc_RNA from 1 species
AUGUAAAGAGUCUCGAAGGUCUCCCUGCGCAGGCAGAAAAUGAUAAAGUUAGGUGCUUCAACAUGCUGAGUUGCAGACACAAAUCUUCAGGUGAAAAAGAAAACCUAAUCCAAAGCUCACUGAAUGUGAUCUACCUCAUAUUCAGAAUGCAAUAAUAACAUCAAUUCAACAAAGCAACAAAGAAAAUUUUCAAAAUAUGCCAGCCUAAGCCACUUACUUGAGAACCCUUAUGAGAAAAAU